GACGAACGCUGGCGGUGUGCCUAAUACAUGCAAGUCGAACGCAGUGGGGACGGGUGAGUAACACGUGGGUAACCUCCCAUCAGAGGGGAUAACACUUGGAAACAGGUGCUAAAACGAUACUGAUGGAUGGACCCGCGGUGCAUUGGCUAGUUGGUGAGGUAACGGCUCACCAAGGCCACGAUGCAUAGCCGACCUGAGAGGGUGAGCGUGCACACUGGGACUGAGACGCGGGCCAGAGUCCUACGUGAGUCAGCAGUAGGGAAUCUUCGGCAAUGGACGAAAGUCUGACAGAGCAACGCCGCGUGAGUGAAGAAGGUUGUCGGAUCGUAAAACUCUGUUGUUAGAGAAGCGGUAGCUAACCAGAAAGCCACGGCGAACUACGUGACAGCAGUCGCGGUAAUAC
rnacentral:rRNA from 1 species